ensembl:lncRNA
GCGCUGGGGUUUUUUUUUUGUCCGACUGCACCCAAUGAUGUCAUCUAGGCUACGUCAACCGCAAACGUCACCAAACACACCAGAGCUGGCCUGCUUUCACUGCGCACUCGUCUUAAUGAAAAAGCUUCCUCAUCCAAUGCUGUGUUCACUCUCCAUCACCAGUUCCACCUGAUCUUCUCCAUUCUCCAAGACGUCAUGAGACUGGCACUGAUUUCUCAUAAACAUUGCUGUUGUACCCUGCAGAAUCCAGCCCCAUAUACCGUGCUGCAUUUACCACAGCAUAGCAAUGACGUAAUCACCCUCCUCAUCCUCAGCUACUGAUGAAGGUGGCAGCAAGGAUGAGCUUGACUGACAGAUAAGCCCCGCCCAAUCAGUCCAAUCCGUCUUUCCUUCAUUUCACUACCCUCGAGUGAAAGGAGAUAGAUGUACAAGGCCUCACCCACAAGUGACAUCAGGAUAGGUUGCUACACAGCCAAAAGCAACACAAGUGUAGGUAUUUGGGCUCAAACUUGAUUGAGAGCAGAACAGUGAGAGCAGUGUGAUGCUGCCAUCUGCUGGUCAAGGGAAACUGUCAUUUUCUGAAGUCUCACAGCUCGAAAAUAAAAAUGGUGUACGAAGUCUCAGAUUCCAGUAGGUGGCGGUAAUGUACCUUUAGUGGUUUGCCAACCGCCAUUAAAACAAAAAGAAGAAGAAGAAGAAGAAGUCACUGAAACUCAUUAUGGAUCAGUUGGUCUGCACGCUGCACGGGGGAGACUUACUCAUUACGUGCACUGUGCACGCUACCGUCUAGUGUGUGGAUUUUAGAAAGGUACCAUCAGACGGAGGCGAAAACGUCACGUGACUGAGGAAGAAAGUCCUCUAAGGCUUAAUACAGACAGCUGGGACCAAUCAUGACGCACCCUCGAACAUCGACCAAUACCCGAGCUGGAAGUGAACAAAACCAAAACAAAAGACGUGUGUCCAUAGGAAACAGUCUUAGCGUCCAUGCGCUCUUCGAGCACGUGCACGUUGUCUCCACAGUGACCUCUUCCGGCGAGAUCGUGACACCUACGAUUCUGCUUAAAGUACCAUGACAGAAACAUGUGUGAUUAAGUGAACAAAUUAAUAUGACACAUAAAAAUUAAACAUUUUAAAGUAGAAUUUUUUGGUGUGGUUAUACAAUGCAGGUAUGUAGUCAUGUCAACGGAAAUUGAGUUAUCAGUGUCCCAAUGUGUAGUGAGCUGGGGUCCUUUCCAGUACCCCAACUUGUGUACACUAUAUACGGAUACACAACAUACGGAGAUAUGGAAUGCAUGUAACAGCGUUACGUAAUCAGGAUACAAAAAAAAACUGUUAACUGUAAUCUGUUACAGUUACGUCAAAAAACUAAAUUACUCGGAUUAUUGGUACAUUUAGUAAAAAAUGGGAAUGCUAACAGGAUUCAUUUUCUUUUCAUUUAAAGCCAAAGAAAUUAAUCUUUUGACAUAACAGAAUAUAGACAGCUGCUUGAUUAUAGUUCUGGUUAUCUCUUGCCAGUCGUGGCUCACAUGAGCAACCUCCUGGUGCAUGCGCAAAUAAAUUUGAAAUCCUGAAAAGGAUAAGCGGUAUGGAAGAUGGAUGGAUGGAUGGAUGUUCUCUGAAAUGCUUUUGUUAGGCUGACCUUACGUCCUCUUUUUCGGACCUUACAAAAACCUCCAAAGCAAUUUGAGAAAAUGUCCAGGAUUUGGCUUUAGUUUCAUUAUGAUGUGCUUAUGGUCUACUGCUGCAUCAUCCAUUCAUCCAGCUUCUACCGCUUACUCCUUCUUCAGGGUCACGGGGGAACCUGGAGCCUAUCCCAGGGAGAAUCGGACACAAAGCAGGGUACACCCUGGACAGGGUGCCAAUCCAACACUCACAUACACAUUCAUACACUAUGGACACUUUUGGACAUGCCAUUCAGCAUGUCUUUGGACUGGGGGAGGAAACCGGAGGAAACCCCCACAGCACGGGCAGAACAUGCAAACUCCACACACACAGGGCCACGGUGGGAAUCGAACCCCCAACCCUGGAGGUGUGAGGCAAACGUGCUAACCACUAAGCUAACUUUUGUGAUGUAAUGUUACUGCAUCAGG